rnacentral:rRNA from 1 species
GACGAACGCUGGCGGCGUGCUUAACACAUGCAAGUCGAACGGGCCCGCCCCUGUUUUUGGGGGUGGGUUGAGUGGCGAACGGGUGAGUAUCACGUGAGUAACCUGCCCCCUGCUCCUGGAUAACUGCUUGAAAGGGCGGCUAAUACGGGGUGUGCCGGCUGGUCCGCAUGGGCCUGGUCGGGAUAGUUUCAUCUUCGGGUGUUUCGGUGGGGGAUGGGCUCGCGGCCUAUCAGCUUGUUGGUGGGGUGAUGGCCCACCAAGGCGGUGACGGGUAGCCGGCCUGAGAGGGUGGGCGGCCACACUGGGACUGAGACACGGCCCAGACUCCUGCGGGAGGCAGCAGUGGGGGGUAUUGCACAAUGGGCGGAAGCCUGAUGCAGCGACGUCGAGUGAGGGAUGGAGGCCUUCGGGUUGUGAACCUCUUUCUCCGGUGGUGAAGGCCCUGUCCGUUGCGGCGGGGUUGACGGUAGCCGGGUAUGAAGCGCCGGCUAACUACGUG